AGGACCCAUUUCGCUUGGGUCCUGCCUCCAGACCCAAUUCUCUUAGGUAUUGCCUCAGGAUCUAAUUCUAUUGGGUCCAACAUCAGGACCCAAGGUUCUUGGGUUUU
rnacentral:pre_miRNA from 1 species